GUGAGACCAGCUGCACUCGGGCCAUGGUUUUGCAGAGUGCUCUGGAGGCAGUGUGGCUGGGGCUCCUCCUCAGCUCUCCUUGGAAGCUUGCAGAGAGCAAGGACCAAGUGUUUCAGCCUCCUGGCAUGGCUUCUCCGGAGGGCGCUGUGGUGGAAAUCUCCUGCAAUCACUCUAUAUCCAAUGCUUACACCUUCUUCUGGUACCUUCACAUCCCAGGACACGCUCCGAGACUCCUGGUUCGGGGUUCCAGGUCUUCUCAGCAGGGACGCUACAACAUGACAAAUGAGCGAUUCUCCUCACUGCUGCUCAUCCCCCAGGUGCAGGUGGAAGAUGCUGCCACUUACUAUUGUGCUCUGGAGGGCACAGAGGCAGGGAGCCUAUGAA